rnacentral:rRNA from 1 species
UACGUAGGGUGCAAGCGUUGUCCGGAAUUAUUGGGCGUAAAGAGCUCGUAGGCGGUUUGUUGCGUCGGCUGUGAAAUCCCGAGGCUCAACCUCGGGUCUGCAGUCGAUACGAGCAAACUAGAGUGUUGCAGGGGAGACUGGAAUUCCUGGUGUAGCGGUGAAAUGCGCAGAUAUCAGGAGGAACACCGAUGGCGAAGGCAGGUCUCUGGGCCACUACUGACGCUGAGGAGCGAAAGCGUGGGGAGCAAACAGG